GCGCCCGUAGCUCAGCGGAACAGAGCGUCGGUUUCCGGCACCGAAGGCCGCAGGUUCGAGCCCUGCCGGGCGCA
rnacentral:tRNA from 1 species